rnacentral:rRNA from 1 species
GCUUACGACCACACCGGCCUGAGUACGCCUGAUCUCGUCUGAUCUCGGAAGCUAAGCAGGGUCGGCCUGGGUAGUACUUGGAUGGGAGACCGCCUGGGAAUACAGGUGCUGUAAGAU